rnacentral:lncRNA from 1 species
UCAGAUAUUUAGGGCAAGUAGAGAGGCACGCACUAGGGGCAGUUCUCCAUCACAAUGGCUGUAGGAGAGGUUAUCGAUAACGUAGAGUGGUUGGGAACGAACUACUGCUAAGGUGAGCCGUUCACUGCUAUGUUAAAAUAAAUGGGUUGAAUUUUGUAUAAAUUAUAUCAAGAAUGAUGCUUUUGAACAAUGCACGUGAAGGGUAGAUGUAGGAAUUAAGUUUUAAAUUAUCAAGUAUUACUUGUUUUAUAAUUAUUCUAAUUAUUGACAGUUCGGGAGAGAAUGUUAAUGCAUAAAGUGUCUAGCAAUUGGUCAAUAUUUGCUACUGCCAAUAAGGUAGGUCUUAAUGUUACUGCCACAGUUUCUUGGUAACAAUUAGUUAGUGGAAAAUAAAGAAUAAACUAAUUAUGUUUUGGGUGAUGAGCCAACCAUUGACAUCAGUUAGAAUUAGGUCACUGCUUUAGAUUAAUUUGAUGGAUAAGAACAGUUUUUAUUUCCUGUUUAUUUUUUUCGUACUUUUCUCCAAAAUCCGGAAUUAGAGAAAUUGAGGUUUAGGUUUAGGACUUUUAGAGUAAGAAUUUGUAAAUUGGUGUGAUUAGAUUCGUAUUCUUAUGGAAAUUAUAUAUUGAAACAGAUUUAAAAUAUUCGGAAGCUUUACGGAAGUGCAAGACCCUUACAAGGUAGCUUGUAUUUGAGUUCUUCGGUUGAGAUAGGUUACGGUUUAAUUGGAGUUUAGACUCGACUUAAUUGCAUGUAUGCUCCUAAAGUAGAUACUUGUUGAUUGGUAUUCGGACAUGCUUGAAAUUGUUGAUGUUAGAAUUGUUGAUGCAUGUAUAAAUGAUUAUUGAAAAUUUACUUGAUAGAAUUGUCUUAUGACUUUAAGUGUAGUUGUAAAACUUGGUACAUUAUGUUGUAUGCUGUGGGGUUUGUGUAAAUUUGAUAUUGAUAAUACUUUUUAAUGUUGGAUCGGGUGCCACGCCGGUACGGAUAUGAUUAUGUUGGCUCAGGUACCACGUCAGUACGGAUAUGUAUAUGUUUGAUCGGGUACCACGCCGGUACGAAUAUGUUUAUAUUGGAUCGGGUACCACACCGGUAUGGAUAUGUUUAAGUUGGAUCGGGUACCACGCCGGUACGGAUAUGUUUAUGUUGGAUCGGGUACCACGCCGGUACGGAUAUGUUUAUGUUGGAUCGGGUACCACACCAGUACGAAUAUGUUAAUGUUGGAUCGGGUACCACGCCGGUACGGAUAUGUUUAUGUUGGAUUGGGUACCACGCCGGUACGGGUAUUUAUAUGUUGGAUUGGGUACCACGCCGGUACGGAUAUAUUAUGUUGGAUCGGGCACCACGCCAGUACGGAUAUGUAUAUAUUGGAUUAGGUACCACGCUGGUACGAAUAAGCUUAUGUUGGAUCGGAUACCAUGCCGGUACGAAUAUUUAUAUGUUGGAUCGGGUACCACGCCGGUACGUAUAUAUUUAUGUUGGAUCGGGUACCACAUCGGUACGGAUAUGUAUAUGUUGAAUCGGGUACCACGCCGGUACGGUACAUGAACAUAGAUUGUUCCCUGCAAAAUAUGACUAUUUGGACAAAAAUAAGUUCCAUAGUAUGUGUGUAUAUAUUUGUGUUGAGUCUGUGGAUGUUUACAGUAUGGUUGAUAUUCUUGAUGGUUAUGUGGCUUGUUUGUGAGUAAUAUUUGAUCUGUUAUUGUUGUAUUAUUGAUUCAUUUAGUAAUUGUUGUGUGAUGAGCCCUGUCCACUUGUUAUUUGAUUUAUGUUGUGUACAUAUUAAUAAAUUGAGUUGGCCUAUGAUAUCAACCAGUACAUAGUGGUUUGUACUGAUACUACCUUGUAUUCUUCUUUUGUUGAGUACAGAAAGUGUUCUAGAAGCUCAGACAUAACCUCACCUCUAGAGUCUAAUAGAAGAUCUUGAUCCAAGGGUGAUCACUCCAUCUCCAGGCUACCACGGAUCAUCUUAUUUGUUCUUAUCCAUCUUUCGGGCAAUGAAACAUUCUUUAUUUACUUUAUUUUUGGAUAUCUCUUUAGACACAAUCUUUGUUAGUAGUUCUUGUACGAUGACUUUCAGGUCUUGGGAUUUUUAGUAAUGAGUUUGUUUGAUUUCCGCAUAAUUAAUGAUUAGUUCUGAAUUAUUGUUACAAUGUUGAUUUUAUGAAAUAUCAUCUAAGUAUUAACUAAGUGAUUGAGUUAUGGUUCGGAUUAGAUGGUUCUCCCACAGAAGGAUUAGUGUGGGUGCCACUCAUGGCCAUUUGGGUCGUGACAUAGGAUUACAAGUUGGACCCCAAUUAGUUCAGAUUGGGGCAUGUCGGUUAGAUGAUAGCUCCCACAGUCUCAGUCCAGUAAUCAGUCUAGUAACUCAGUUUCAGUUGCUUGACCAUAGCAUACAGAUAAUGGUGAUUCAGUUAUCAGAUUUCAGCAUUUCAGUAUUUUUAGAUUAUAUUAAGAACAUGUUAUAUGCUUGGUUAUGCAUCCUCAGUUCUUACAGAUUUCAUGCAUCAUCAGUAUAUACAGAUUUUACGUAUCCUCAGUAUCUAUAGAUUUCAUGUACUCUACUCAGUACUUCUUGUUGCAUGCAUAUAUUCAGACAGUUAUUAUUCAUGUUCAUGAAACCAUGCAUAUCAUCCUACCUCAUUUAACAUACCAGUAUAUUCUAAGUACUGAUUGCAUACUCUUUUCUUGUGCUAUGAUGUAUCAUAUCAUAGGUUCGGACGCCCAGUACCCGGAUCGCCCAUAGAUUUUCCAGACCAUCAGCCGUUGCAGGGGUGAAUCCUCAUAGUUUUGAGGACAGAUUAUUUAUUUAUUUUUUUAUGUUUUCAAUUCAGUAGUCAGUUGAAGUUAGUUGGGGCAUGUCCCAUCAACUCAUAUUUAGUCCGUCUAGAGGUUUUUGGACACUACAGUCAGUUAUUUAGUAUUCGAACUUCAGUUGACAUUAUCAGAUAUUUUAUCAGUAUUAUUAGUUUGGUUUACAGGUUC